GACGUAGGAGGCGAGCGUUGUCCGGAUUCAUUGGGCGUAAAGAGCACGCAGGCGGUUUGGCAAGUCGGACGUGAAAAUCCGGGGCUCAACCCCGGACCUGCAUCCGAAACUGCCCGACUAGAGGUAGGUAGGGGAGAUCGGAAUUCCUGGUGUGGCGGUGAAAUGCGCAGAUAUCAGGAGGAACACCGGUGGCGAAGGCGGAUCUCUGGGCCUUACCUGACGCUCAGGUGCGAAAGCUAGGGGAGCGAACAGG
rnacentral:rRNA from 1 species